UUGUCAGGUUAGAUGAUUCUUAUCUGUUCCUCUAUUCAGAGGUCAGAUAGAACAUGAUGAUUGAAGUUUUUAUAAUUAGUGCUUAAGGUCUUUGCAUGAUUAGGGCUCCUAACACCCUAAAUGCUCCUAUCUGUU